GCUUCUUUUGAACAUCUCCAUUUCUUUCCAUCUGUUCUCCUGCAUCUUCCUGGCUCUGGGUCUAUCUUUCUCCCGUAAUUACCACCACCCAUUUGGAAACUGUUCCAUCCAACUACAUAUUGGGAUUGUAGAGGAUGAGGAUGAGGGGGAGUUUGAUAGGCUGUUCUGACAUUGAAGAGAAGAUCAGGUGGGAUUGGGAUGCCAUAGAUCAUGUAUUUGUAUAUAAGAGCUUGGUGUUCAAGUUCUUGCCAUUGAAUUGCAGUGAAGGGAUAACUAAUAUUACUACUCAUCAUGUUUCUUUCUUCAACUCAAGAAAGAAAGAAAGAAAGAGGAGGUAGUAGAAGAAGAUGAAGGGGGUUCUUGAGGGCUGCUGGCUAUAUCUUUUAUUUUCGUUUACAGAAUCUUUUGAUCUUGUUCUGAACAUGGAUAAUAAAGAAAACUAAUGGUGCUGAUCAACUUUUUUUCUUUUCU